rnacentral:rRNA from 1 species
AUUUAGAGGAAGUAAAAGUCGUAACAAGGUUUCCGUAGGUGAACCUGCGGAAGGAUCAUUAUUGAAAUAAACCUGAUGGGUUGUUGCUGGUUCUCUAGGGAGCAUGUGCACACCUUGUCAUCUUUAUAUCUCCACCUGUGCACUUUUUGUAGACCUUUCAGGUCUAUGUUGCUUCAUUUACCCCAAUGUAUGUUAAUAGAAUGUUGUGCCUAUAUAAUAUAUACAACUUUCAGCAACGGAUCUCUUGGCUCUCGCAUCGAUGAAGAACGCAGCGAAAUGCGAUAAGUAAUGUGAAUUGCAGAAUUCAGUGAAUCAUCGAAUCUUUGAACGCACCUUGCGCUCCUUGGUAUUCCGAGGAGCAUGCCUGUUUGAGUGUCAUUAAUAUAUCAACCUUCUCUUUUUUGAGUUGUUUGGAUGUGGGGGUUUGCUGGCAUCUUAAAUGAUUCAGCUCCCCUGAAAUGCAUUAGCAGAACAACCUGUUCAUUGGCGUGAUAAUUAUCUAUGCUAUUGAAUGUGAGGGCAGUUCAGCUUUCUAACCGUCCUCGGACAAUUCAUCAUUAAUGUGACCUCAAAUCAGGUAGGACUACCCGCUGAACUUAA